UACAGAGGUGGCAAGCGUUGUUCGGAAUUACUGGGCGUAAAGGGCGCGUAGGCGGCCUACUAAGUCAGACGUGAAAUCCCCCGGCUUAACCUGGGAACUGCGUCUGAUACUGGAAGGCUUGAGGAUGGGAGAGGGAUGUAGAAUUCCAGGUGUAGCGGUGAAAUGCGUAGAUAUCUGGAGGAACACCGGUGGCGAAGGCGGCAUCCUGGACCAACACUGAACACUGAGGAGCGAAAGCCAGGGGAGCAA
rnacentral:rRNA from 1 species